rnacentral:lncRNA from 1 species
CUGAGAGUUCCCCAGGAGCAGAUGCCACUAUGAUUCCAGUAUAGCCUCCAGAACCGUAGCUGAUCUAGGAAUGCAGCCUGAAGAAAUCAGCACCUCCUAGAUACAGAAUGAACAGAAGGGCUCAGAAGAAAUAUGAGGACAAAUAGGUAUGCUAGACUGAGGCAGAAGAGGCUUGAAUAUUGACUUCAUCUUUUAAGAUAACUCCCCAGAUCUCCAGUUGGUUGAAUGUGUGCAUGUAGAACCCACAGACACAGAGGAUGGGCUACAUUAUGUAGCGUCAGUGAUGGCUUCAUAGAAGAGUUGGCUUUGGUAUCAGGAUGAUGCUGGCCUCAUAAAAUGAGU